GUCCACUACUGCUGUACAUGUCCAUCAUGAAACAGGACAUGCAGCCAUGUUAUGAGGUCAGGGUUCGCCGGAGAUAAUGAACGUUACUGCUGUACAUGUUUAUCAUGAAACAGGACAUGCAGCCAUGUUAUGAGGUCAGGGUUUGCUGGGAACAGGCAGCCAUGUUAUGAGGUCAGGGUUCACAGGGAACAGGCAGCGAUGUUAUGAGGUCAGGGUUUGCUGGGAACAGGCAGCCAUGUUAUGAGGUCAGGGUUCACAGGGAACAGGCAGCCAUGUUAUGAGGUCAGGGUUAGCUGGGAACAGGCAGCCAUGUUAUGAGGUCAGGGUUAGCUGGGGACAGGCAGCCAUGUUAUGAGGUCAGGGUUAGCUGGGAACAGGCAGCCAGAUUAUGAGGUAAGGGUUCACUGGGAACAGGCAGCCAGGUUAUGAGGUCAGGGUUAGCUGGGAACAGGCAGCCAGGUUAUGAGGUAAGGGUUCACAGGGAACAUGCAGCCAUGUUAUGAGGUCAGGGUUUGCUGGGAACAGGCAGCCAUGUUAUGAGGUCAGGGUUCGCUGGGAACAGGCAGCCAUGUUAUGAGGUCAGGGUUAGCUGGGAACAGGCAGCGAUGUUAUGAGGUCAGGGUUAGCUGGUAUUAGGCAGCCAUGUUAUGAGGUCAGGGUUAGCUGGGGACAGGCAGCCAUGUUAUGAGGUCAGGGUUUGCUGGGAACAGGCAGCGAUGUUAUGCGGUCACGGUUAGCUGGGAACAGGCAGCCAUGUUAUGAGGUCAGGGUUAGCUGGGGACAGGCAGCCAUGUUAUGAGGUCAGGGUUAGCUGGAGACAGGCAGCCAUGUUAUGAGGUCAGGGUUAGCUGGGGACAGGCAGCCAUGUUAUGAGGUCAGGGUUAGCUGGGGACAGGCAGCCAUGUUAUGAGGUCAGGGUUAGCUGGGAACAGGCAGCGAUGUUAUGAGGUCAGGGUUAGCUGGGGACAGACAGCGAUGUUAUGAGGUCAGGGUUAGCUGGGGACAGGCAGCCAUGUUAUGAGGUCAGGG
rnacentral:lncRNA from 1 species